rnacentral:rRNA from 1 species
GAUUAACGCUGGCGGCGUGCAUAACACAUGCAAGUCGAACGAUGAAACUUAACUGAUUUCUUCGGAAUGAUUUUAAGUGGAUUAGUGGCGGACGGGUGAGUAACGCGUGAGUAACCUGCCUUGGAGAAGGGGAUAGCCUUUGGAAACGAAGAAUAAUACCCUAUGAUAUGAUAAUAUCUCAUGAUAUUAUCAUCAAAGAUUUAUCGCUCUAAGAUGGACUUGCGUCUGAUUAGUUAGUUGGUGAGGUAACAGCUCACCAAGGCAGCGAUCAGUAGCCGGCUUGAGAGAGUGUACGGCCACAUUGGGACUGAGACACGGCCCAGACUCCUACGGGAGGCAGCAGUGGGGAAGUUUGCACAAUGGGGGAAACCCUGAUGCAGCGACGCCGCGUGAUUGAGAAGGCCUUCGGGUUGUAAAAAUCUUUUGUAUGGGAAGAAAAUGACAGUACCAUACGAAUAAGAACCGGCUAAUUACGUG